GACUAUUUGCCGAAUCGGCGUCGUAUGGCGAUACUUUCCAGAUAAUCUAUAAAGAGCUGGAUAGGCGAUGGGUCGCAG
rnacentral:ncRNA from 1 species